UACGUAGGGUGCGAGCGUUGUCCGGAAUUAUUGGGCGUAAAGCGCGUGUAGGUGGCCAAGUAGGUCCGCUGUGAAAACUUGAGGCUCAACCUCAAGCUGUCGGUGGAAACCCCUUGGCUAGAGUCCGGAAGAGGAGAGUGGAAUUCCUGGUGUAGCGGUGAAAUGCGCAGAUAUCAGGAAGAACACCAAUGGCGAAGGCAGCUCUCUGGGACGGUACUGACACUGAGACGCGAAAGCGUGGGGAGCGAACAGG
rnacentral:rRNA from 1 species